rnacentral:rRNA from 1 species
AACGAACGCUGGCGGCGCGCCUAACACAUGCAAGUCGAACGAGAAUCCGGGGCAACCCGGUAGUAAAGUGGCAAACGGGUGAGGAAUACAUGGGUAACCUACCCUUGAGAAGGGAAUAACCCGCCGAAAGGUGAGCUAAUACUCUAUACGCUAUCUUUUUUUCGAAAGGAUAGGAAAGCCGGGUCGAGGACCUGGUACUCAAGGAGGGGCUCAUGUCCUAUCAGCUUGUUGGUGGGGUAACGGCCUACCAAGACUACGACGGGUAGCUGGUCUGAGAGGAUGAUCAGCCACACUGGCACUGAGAUACGGGCCAGACUCCUACGGGAGGCAGCAGUGAGGAAUAUUGCGCAAUGGGCGAAAGCCUGACGCAGCGACGCCGCGUGGGGGAGUGAAGGUUUCGGAUUGUAAACCCCUUUCAUGAGGAAAGAUAAAGUGGGUAACCACUUAGACGGUACCUCAAGAAGAAGCCACGGCUAACUUCGUG